UACGUAGGGGGCAAGCGUUGUCCGGAAUCAUUGGGCGUAAAGAGCGUGUAGGCGGCCCGAUAAGUCCGCUGUGAAAGUCCAGGGCUCAACCCUGGGAUGCCGGUGGAUACUGUGAGGCUAGAGUACGGAAGAGGCGAGUGGAAUUCCUGGUGUAGCGGUGGAAUGCGCAGAUAUCGGGAGGAACACCCGUGGCGAAGGCGGGUCUCUGGGACGGUACUGACGCUGAGACGCGAAAGCGUGGGGAGCGAACAGG
rnacentral:rRNA from 1 species